rnacentral:rRNA from 1 species
UACGAAGGGGGCUAGCGUUGCUCGGAAUCACUGGGCGUAAAGGGUGCGUAGGCGGGUCUUUAAGUCAGGGGGGAAAUCCUGGAGCUCAACUCCAGAACUGCCUUUGAUACUGGGGAUCUCGAGUCCGGGAGAGGUGAGUGGAACUCCGAGUGUAGAGGUGAAAUUCGUAGAUAUUCGGAAGAACACCAGUGGCGAAGGCGGCUCACUGGCCCGGUACUGACGCUGAGGUGCGAAAGCGUGGGGAGCAAACAGG